CCACGAGCUCCAUCUCCUCCAAUGAAAGAGGUACCACAGGGUGUAGGCAGGUUGCCAGGCGCGCUCGGCAGCGUGACCGCACUGCAUUGAGUUUCUUUAAUGAAAGCCAGGAAAGAACACAUUACACAGUGUUUCUUCUGCGAGCUCGCUAGCCUCCAGUGAUUGAAAUCAAUAAAAACAGUCGGCAAGGGGCCCAGUGGGGGAAGAGAGAAACCUCCACUACGGCAUUCAGUUUGCUUUGCACUUUCUCCCUCCCCCCUGAAGUUAAACUCGGAUCACCAUGACGAGCUGCUCGGCUCCCAGCGCUCGCACCGGGCUUUGAGGGCAGGGAGCGCCUCGGCUCCUGCUGCCCUGCUCAAAGAACCACGGCGUUGUGUGCAGAUCGAAUCUCUCCUGGAGAAGUUCACCGGACAAGUGCACUGCCCCGCACCCAGAAGGGGAAAGCUCUGCAGGAGGAUGGUAGGGGAGCACGGGGAAGAAGGAGCCAUCUGAGCCAGCGGGAGCCCGCGUCCUGGUGAGGAUGCCGAGCCAGGGGACCUGCGGAUCUGCUGGCAGCCAGCAGCCCAGCUCACAGCGACCUGCACCGUAGGGCAGCCCAGCGCUCAGCAGCACAUCAGCGCAGAGCCAGUGGUUCCAUCUUCAAGUGACGUCCUUCUGGGCUGCACCUCAUAGAAAUGAGAGGUCGGAGUUUCUGCUGAGCUUACCUUGGAAGGGUUCUGACUUGAUGGACAAAAUGUUUCUGCCAGCCUUCAAGGAACAGCAGGGCAGUGCCUACCAGGGUGCUACCAGGCAGCAGAAGUGGGCUCUGAAUUACGCUGGAGCUGCAAUGCAAUGAUUUACCACAAUGAUGCUGUCUAUGGAAUAAAGGAACAAACAGAUUACAGUGGUUGCAAACCAUCUGCAGAACAGCAAAAGACUUCACAUCACAAGAGCGGGGCCCAUGGGAAGGAGCUGAAUUGUGAAGUGUUCUCAGGCAGAUGUUUGUUUAGAAUUUCUGAAAAAGCAGUGAGAUGGGCGAGCAAUCUCAAAGGAUGACCGACGCACAGUGAGAAGAGUGGCUUUGGAAGCCUGAGCAACUGUGUGCUCACUCCACGUGUGACGGAAAUACACCCAUCCUUUCUGAGAAUUCCGUUCUCGUUGCUGGCUUGACAUGCCUAAGAAUGCAUCGAAGGCAGCCCAGGAAGUCCCAUAGGAAUGAGAGAAGAAAGAAAUGACGAGUAUCAUCUGAAGAACCUCGUGCUCCCUCUGCCAGGACCGGAACGGAAAGCGGUACUGCAAGAGGAAGAAAACCACCCCGCCCCCACUGAUCUGCUCCUGCUCUUUUGUUUGUAUGCUUUAAGCAUCCCAGGCAGGAUGUCAGAUUUAAUGCUACUUUAUGCAUCAGUUAUUACUGUAAUCCACUCAUGGCUUCCUUCACGUUGUACUGCAUGGGAUCAACUACAUUAUAAAAUGAAACUGAUAUCAAUUAUAAGCAUACCACCCGUCAAACUGGUCAAUGAUUGCACCACGAUGACGCAAAUGAUGGGGUUGGCAGAGGCCUGUUUUUCUCAGCCCAGCACCCAGUAUCAAGCAGGAUUUUCUUCUACACUAAUGUUUAAAGCAUUUUAUCUGAGCCAUAUCAUUAUAUUCCAAACAAUGGCAGCUCAGCAGCCACACAAAAAAAGAAUAUUCGGUUCCUUACUUGCCUGCACUGCAGCAUUUUUCCCCUCUCAUCUAACCUGGACAAUCUAGUUUUACUUUUCUGUACAGCCAGCCAACGACUCCUCUGUUAACCCUUACGACACGUAUAUCAACUGGUAAGCUAAAAAAAACAUCAUGUAAUGCAGACUUGGAGCUAACAGCAACGUGAGACGGCUUUCUCUCACACUUCAGAGUUCAGAGCGUGCUCCCCCUGGGGCACAACUAAUGGCAGGGGUGCUAUUCUUCUGCAAUACCUAUCAUCCACUAUUUAAAUGUUUAAGGAGUAACCCAUAAAUAACACUUAGCAUGUCACUUUCUAAAUGCACCUUACAGACCCUGAUGAGUAGCCAGAAUCUACUAAGCCAUGGUUCAUGCAACGCUUCUGGCAAAGACUUCCAGUCUUCUGCUUCUGCAAACCCCUGCAGUCCCACAGUGCCUCCCCAUGCAGCACGCUUUGCUUUCAGUCCCUGCAGAAAUUAAGAGACCCUUUGGGAACUCUACAGGACCCGAGGAAGGUACGAAUGCUCAGCAUCUGCAGAGACUUCAUUUGUUGGCAACAGCUUUAUAGCUACAUACGGCUUAUAACGACAUUAUAGUUUGUGAAAAAGAAUAUUCAGAGGUCGGAUUAUCUGUUUCAGGGCACUGUCGCAUACAGGUCAAGCAGACAAAAGCAUUUAUUUACUAAACCAAACAUCUGGACAGCAAGAGGGGGCUACAGCAGAACACAAAAUUCAGCACACCAUUAACGAUCAACCUACAGCUCAGAAACUCUGCAAAAGAAACGAUCCACUUUAAGGACACAGAGAACACAUGCACACCACUGCUUGUGUGCAACACUCAAACACGGUGAGCUCAGUCAUCUUUCCAGCUUCUCAAAAAAAGGAAACACGAUGGGAUCUGUGACACCAUCACAAAGUGGGGCCCUGUCGUAUCCUCACAACACUGAAGCAAUCUCUGAAUUCCACAUCAGUGCCCGGAAACCUGCCUCCCCAGCUUCCAGAGCUCGCCCUGUGAGCAGGACAAGCAGCGGGAUGCUUCUUAGCACAGUGUGCUCAACCACUGCCUGUUCAGGACGUAUGGCCUGUAAAAGCGAAACCUCAAAGCCGUAUAUUCUUAUCACAGGUUAAAAAUAAAACACUUGCUCUUGAGCAAGAGCGGUGGAUCGCAGGGCAGGGAAUGGGCUCCCACAUGUCCCCAGGGAACCUGAGCACAGACGACAACCCCCAACAGCUCUGAUUGCUGCCGCAGCCCAAGCAUUCUGGGCAGUAAGUCGGAAACCCAGUGGCUGAAGCCCAGCCUCUUGCUUCUUGAGCGGGGCUGUAAACAGCCAAAGGGAGGGGCCUCGCACAGCCAAGCCGAGCCCAGAGUGGUGAGUAAGUCACCGAAGGAGAAACAAGUGCAGCAUGCAGCACUGGGGCUGGGAGGCAAUGGGCUGCGGGUGCGGUGAGGCGCUCUGGCUGCUGCCCUCCCCGCAUGCCCUCCACGCACGUCCCCUGCAAUGCCCUCCAUGCAAGUGCUGCCCAGGAGAGCCUGCAGGGCUGUGAGGUGAAGUUUUAACACACCAGAUGCUUCCUGAAGACUCACUGGGUUGUUUACAGUGUUCAAAAUAGAAUGAGGAUUAAGGGACAGUAUAAAGAUACCACGGUUUGUACAUCUAUGCAACACUCAUGCUAAAGAACUGGUCUGAGAAUGCAAACAAAAAGGAGGUUUUUAUCCAGAGGUGAAAUAAAUCUUUGCAUACAACAGACCUGCAUCUUGUGCUACUGUUAAAGACAUCUCUUACCUGAGAAAAUCUGGCAUCAGACUGUGAAAUAAAGGUUUAUCUGCCCAGCUAAGUGGCUGUACUUUAUCCUGCUAUCUGGCUGUGCUUACUUAGAAGAAAGUGCACACAAAACAACUGCAGUGGGAAAUAAAAUGGAACUGGACAUGAUUCUGGAACAUAUUCUUCUGGACUUCAGCUGAAGUGUCAGAGGAUUAACGCUACAGAGAUGGAACUGCACAUCUCCCAGUGGUUGCAAAACCCACAGUGCAUCAUUCAGCCAUAUGGUUCACUGAGUACAGCAUGUUGUCUAGUGACAUUCAUUUUAAUUGCACAAUGCUUCAUGUGGAUUCAAUUUAAUCUUGUUCUCUCGCUGGAAAGAAUGCAUUUGUGUACUUUUCUGUACCUGCUGAAAGAACACAGUGCUGCAUAUCUGACCAUCUCAGACUACAUCUGACACGUGAAAUCGCCAGCCACGCUGUCCUAGGAAAGGAAUGACAGCCAUGAUCUGAAGGCCUUGAAUGUUUCCAGUUGUACCUUAGAGAUUGCUUUAGAGAUUUCUUAUUUCUGCAUUUCAGAAAGAGACGAUGGCUUUGAGGAGUCUUCUGAAUUCUGAUGACAAAGGACAGCUGGACAAUGACUACUGAUAUUAGCUGACUUUUUGAAGAAUUUAAGCUAUUGCAGGAGGAAAUGAUAGUUAAUUCCUGUCGUUUUAGAAAUACAGGCUGCCCUCCUAUUAGGUUCCCUAGACUACAGAGAUCCAUUGUUUUUCCAGUACUAAAUGGUUGUAGGUUUGAAAUCUGAAUAGAAAGUUGUAAAGAAAAGCCAGCAAAAAAAAAAAACAAACCUUCCACCUCAUUUCCCAGUUUCCUCUUGCCUUACCAGCGACUGAUCCAGCAUCCAUUCACCAGACUGCCUCAGCUGUGCCUUCUAACAAUCACUUUGAGAGAAAACUUGUUUGUAUUUGCCACAUAAAACCAUGCAGAUUUUUCUAUUUUCCAUCUUACUGCUGAGAUCUGUAGCUCCUCUUAUAUAUUCUUCAGCAACUACAUUUGCACAGUAUUAAAUAAAGGAGCUGUUUCGUAAUUUUAAGAAGUACUGAUAUUGCUGUGCAUCACAUUGGUAUUUCUUUUUUUUCAGCUCAUUGCCACUGAUUUCCUCUUAAGGAAUUGAAACUUGUACAUUCAUUUAGCAGUCACCUGAAAUUUUUGAAACACGGGUGACUUCCUAUAGUGAGAUGGAAAAGAAUUUCCAUCACUGACCUUAAACUGGUCAGUUUGGUCAUUGGUUACGUGAGCUGCGUGAUCUUAAGUGUGUUUUCUUCACAUAACAUUGCAUUUCACUUACACUGCAAUAUCUGAACACUAUUCCUGUUUCUCUC